AGUCAAUACAGAGAAUAUUAAAAUACCCCCCUACAAGGAUUUUUAAGUGGUUGAUGAAAGGCAUCUCUUGUGGAAAUUUCGUUGAAGAGGGCUCUCACAAAGUUUCUCUGUUGUGUCGAAUGGAGUGAUGUUCAGGAAGCAAAGCAGGCAGUAGAAUUGAUGGGAAGGUGGGAAACAAUUGAUGUAUGUGAUGCAUUGGAGCUUCUAUCACCUGUUUUUGAAAAUGAAGAGAUCAUUAUCUAGCACAAGGGCUCCUGUGAUGUGACCUUGUUAUUAUU